rnacentral:tRNA from 1 species
GCCGGCGUAGCUCAGUUGGUAGAGCAACGGUUUCGUAAAUCGUAGGCCGAGGGUUCGAUCCCCCCCGCCGGCU